rnacentral:rRNA from 1 species
GAUUCUGGCUCAGGAUGAACGCUGGCGGCGUGCUUAACACAUGCAAGUCGAACGAAGCUCCUUGAACUGAAGAUUCGUCUGAUGGGAUAGGAAGACUUAGUGGCGGACGGGUGAGUAACGCGUGGGUAACCUGCCGUAUACAGGGGGAUAACAGUUAGAAAUGACUGCUAAUACCGCAUAAGCGCACAGUGAGGCAUCUCACAGUGUGAAAAACUCCGGUGGUAUACGAUGGACCCGCGUCUGAUUAGCCAGUUGGCAGGGUAACGGCCUACCAAAGCGACGAUCAGUAGCCGGCCUGAGAGGGUGAACGGCCACAUUGGGACUGAGACACGGCCCAAACUCCUACGGGAGGCAGCAGUGGGGAAUAUUGCACAAUGGGGGAAACCCUGAUGCAAGCGACGCCGCGUGAGUGAAGAAGCAUUUCGGUGCGUAAAGCUCUAUCAGCAGGGAAGAAAAUGACGGUACCUGACUAAGAAGCCCCGGCUAACUACGUGCCAGCCGCCGC